UGCGCAAGUCAUUGGGACCGCAAAAGGCCUAAAGGCGAAAUGAAAGUGAAGGCUCGCUCUUGUAGCGGGCCUAGGGAAGACGGGUGGCGCUCGUCGCUGCUCUGCACUCCCGGGGCGUCUCGUGCUCAUUGCGAGUUGAGGCGCACCUAGAGCGUACACGCUGGGACCCGAAAGAUGGUGAACUAUGCCUGGUCAGGACGAAGUCAGGGGAAACCCUGAUGGAGGUCCGUAGCGAUUCUGACGUGCAAAUCGAUCGUCGGAACUGGGUAUAGGGGCGAAAGACUAAUCGAACCAUCUAGUAGCUGGUUCCCUCCGAAGUUUCCCUCAGGAUAGCUGGCGCUCGUCUGACGAGUUUCAUCCGGUAAAGCGAAUGAUUAGAGGCAUUGGGGUCGAAACGGCCUCAACCUAUUCUCAAACUUUAAAUGGGUGAGAUCUCCGGCUUGCUUGAAUGUUAUUGAAGCCGCGAGCAAAUUUGAAAGAAUCAGAGUGCCAAGUGGGCCACUUUUGGUAAGCAGAACUGGCGCUGUGGGAUGAACCAAACGCAGAGUUAAAGCGCCAAAAUCGACGCUUAUGGGAUACCAUGAAAGGCGUU
rnacentral:rRNA from 1 species